UCCCAGAGUCAGUUUGAAGACAGAGAGAAUGGCUGGAUGCCUUUAAAACAAUGAAGAUGAAGCUAACAUAUAACACAAAUAAAAAGGAAUGGGAGACAAGAAUUAAAAGGACAUUCACUCUCUAGAGAAAGAGUCCUGCUGGAUACUACCGUCUUUGUCACAGGAGAGUUCAAUCACCUGUGCCCUCCAGACUAUCCCGAGCAGAUUUUUUUUGUGUUUCUUCUAUGUUUUGGCUGAAGAAACUAGCAGGACAUUGUGGAAAACCGUGUCAUCCAACUGAUCUUUCAGUCAGAGUGGUAAUAGGCCAUCAUCAUAAGGAGAAAAUGAAGAGGUGCGUGGGAGAGAAUUUACCAUUUCAUGAAGCCACUGUGGGCUCAUCUCGCUGAAUACCACUCAAUAACUUCAUUUUAAGUCAUAAAAAAUUAAAGGCAAAAAUACAUAUGGCUAUCAAUAAUGUUUUUAUUAAAACGAACCGAAUUAGGAAUAAAUCUAUUUAGAUUGUUGGAAUACUGAUAAUAAGGGCUCAGAAUCUGUUCUGGAACAACUGAACAGAUACAAGAAACUGAUUUAAGACUAUGAAAGUAAUGCUGUCACACCUCAAACUUCUGCUAAUUUCACUUCUCCUAGCAGUGUAUUAAUAAGUAUAGCACGCUAUUGUGUACAUCUUCCCUCACAGCCAGACAGGUCAGUCAAAUAUUUGUUUAACACUGGUACUCCUAUGUCAUCUAACUGACCUUCAUUAAUGCUCUUCCAGCAUACACCAAUACUACCAACAAUUUGGACUACAUGUGUUAUUUUUCCUCAAAUAUCUUUUGAAAAUAAUAUUUUAUUUCUUUAAGUUUGUAACCACCUAAAUAACUAAAUUGUCUAAAGAUUAAUGGCAUCUGCUUAAAUGGUUUACUCGUGGGCUGCACCUCAGUUAAGAGGAUAAUGGUGAAAUAAUGCCAGAGUCUGAAGAACCUGCUUAUCUCCCAAAUUGGUAAGUUGAGAUUCAAUUCAAGAUGGUCAAUGAGGCUUAUGGCAUGAACAAGUUUACAGUAUGAACAAGCCAGCAAGUGCUCUAAGUUACACGAAGAGCUGAGUGUCAGAACCCAAAAGGCAUAACAGAUAUGAUUUUUAAAACCAUCUGUUCUACUGUUCCUGCUGUGCCACACAUUAAUAUUGCCUCUAUUCUUAUUUUGUAAGCAGCUGGAUGAUGAUUAAGUCCCUGUACUUCAGUUCCCUAUUAAUAAAACUGAGCACAACUAGAAAGCAUAACUGCAAGGUCCCCUCAGAUGACUGAAAAAUUAAGAAACAUUAUAAAAUAAGCUUAUGCAAAUGUCCCACUCAACAGCUGAUGUAAAAGCAAAAUCAUGAGAGCGAAUAUAAUGUAUUCACACCCAUGAUUAUAAUAAUAUUAUUCUGUGAAUGAACAAUGUUUGACAAAACUAUAGCUUUAUAGGUUAUGUCACAUGUAACUUCAGAACUUGCUUUUUGUCCUUGUAUUUUAUUUCGCUUCCAUUUUUAGUAAAGAGGUAUAAGGAUAACAGUUGAAGGUUUGCUAUACUUUGCAACUGAAAUCUAUCAUUUUGAUCUGCCCCCAAAACCAAGAAACAUAAAAACAAGGUUUACUUUGUCAGAUUUCUUUCCACCAUAUGGGACUAGUGAAAUAAUAGGAUAUGACAAAAAUGUAAUCAAAAUUUUAAACCUUCUAUAAUGAAGACUGAAUAUCUGACAACUCAUUCAAUGACUGUAAAGCCAUCUGUGGCUCUGUACUACAAUUAAAAUAUUUUAUUUCCCAAAACUAAAACCUUGAAUAACUUUGCAAGCACUCCAUUAAUGAAAUUUCUCACUUGAUCAAUGUUCAGUAAUACACAGAAUUUUGUUUGCAGUCUGUCACAAAUACCUUUACAAGUAAUGCUUUUGGCAAAGCAUUUUGCCAAAGAUGAUAAACGGAAAUGUCACUCUAGAUUUUGCCAAAAUGGCAUACAGACUUCCACAGUUUGUCACUUUGACAUGAAAAUCAUUUCAGUUACCACAACUGAGAUCAGAGGAGCCAUACCCCACAGAGUUAAAUUAAUGGGUGUUUUUAAACCAUAACGUUUAGUCCAGCUUUAAAAAAAAAAAAUAAAUCAAAGAAACGGCAACAGAAAAAAGAAGAAAAGUAGAGCUUGAAAAGAGAUCUUUUGAACUGUUGUUUGCUUGGUAGUUUUGUUUGCUUAAAUAAACAUUCUUCUGAUAAGCACAAGUCUCUGUUGCAGGGCAGCCAUCCCUGACUCAGCUUCUUUCCAUGAGGUCUUUUGACACCAGCCUCAAUUCGUAUCUCACACUUUCACAUGGAAGGGAUAAGUAUCUGUAUCUAGGUUAAAAAAGCUUGUACGUCCACAGUAAUAGAAAAUGCAACUUAGAAAUACAGUAGCAAAACAAAGUUGCUAAAUAAUUAAAGUGCCUGCUGUCACUGAGAUGAAAAGCAAAACUCAUUAAUUUAACUAAGAGUUUCAGUCAGGUCCAAAACAGAGUAAAUACAUUAAGAGGGUGAUCUAGAACAUCCAUC